rnacentral:lncRNA from 1 species
GAUUUUGAUAAUAUAAAAUGGCGGCGGAUGCUCUGAGGAUUUCGAGUUCUAGUUCUGGUUCGUUGGUUUGUAAUCUUAAUGGGUCACAGAGACGACCUGUUCUUCUUCCCCUGUCUCAUCGUGCUACCUUUCUGGGUCUUCCUCCUAGAGCUUCAUCUUCUUCGAUUUCUUCUUCAAUUCCUCUGUUUCUGGGUACUUCUCGUAUUGGGCUUGGUUCUUCCAAGCUCUCACACAGAAAAAAACAAUUCUCAGUCUUUGCUGCAGCAGAAGGUUUGUGUCAUCGCUCGUAUGGUUCAUAAAGCUUCCAUCUUUAUCUUACUUAAUUUGAUUUUUGACGUUAAAGUUUGAAAAUUUUACAUGCCGUCUAAGUGUUCGUUAAAUUGCCUCUAAGAAGUUAAGUUUUAAUUUUGGCUAAAUCUUGGAUUUUAUUUUGCUGAACUGCUUCCUUGUGGAUGUUUUUUUUGCUGUUAUAUAGGAGAAGCUAAGCGAGCUGUGCCGCUUAAAGAUUACCGAAACAUUGGUAUUAUGGCUCACAUAGACGCUGGAAAGACCACAACAACAGAGAGGAUUCUUUACUACACUGGAAGAAACUACAAAAUCGGUGAAGUGCAUGAAGGAACAGCUACUAUGGAUUGGAUGGAACAAGAGCAAGAAAGAGGAAUCACUAUUACUUCAGCUGCAACCACAACGUUUUGGGACAAACACAGGAUCAACAUCAUUGAUACACCGGGUCACGUCGAUUUCACUCUUGAAGUUGAACGUGCUCUGAGAGUUCUCGAUGGAGCUAUAUGCUUGUUCGAUAGUGUUGCUGGUGUCGAGCCUCAGUCUGAGACUGUGUGGAGGCAAGCUGAUAAAUACGGUGUGCCCCGGAUUUGCUUUGUCAACAAAAUGGACCGUCUCGGAGCUAACUUUUUCAGGACGAGGGAUAUGAUUGUGACCAAUUUGGGUGCUAAGCCAUUGGUGCUUCAGAUCCCAAUUGGUGCUGAAGAUGUCUUUAAAGGUGUUGUUGAUCUUGUGAGGAUGAAAGCUAUAGUUUGGUCAGGAGAAGAGCUUGGUGCCAAAUUUAACUACGAGGAUAUUCCAGCUGACCUUGAAGAUUUGGCUCAAGAGUAUCGGGUGGCGAUGAUGGAACUGAUUGUUGAUUUAGAUGAUGAGGUCAUGGAGAACUAUUUAGAAGGAGUUGAGCCUGACGAGGCCACAGUGAAGAGAUUGAUUAGAAAAGGAACCAUCACUGGCAAGUUUGUGCCUAUUCUGUGUGGUUCAGCCUUUAAGAACAAAGGAGUACAGCCAUUACUUGAUGCUGUGGUUGAUUAUCUGCCUUCGCCGGUUGAAGUGCCACCGAUGAAUGGAACAGAUCCUGAGAACCCGGAACUUAUCAUCAUUCGAAAACCAGAUGAUGAAGAGCCAUUUGCUGGGUUAGCAUUCAAGAUCAUGAGUGAU